UUGCACGCUGGCGGCAGGCCUAACACAUGCAAGUCGAACGGUAACAGGAAGAAGCUUGCUUCUUUGCUGACGAGUGGCGGACGGGUGAGUAAUGUCUGGGAAACUGCCUGAUGGAGGGGGAUAACUACUGGAAACGGUAGCUAAUACCGCAUAACGUCGCAAGACCAAAGAGGGGGACCUUCGGGCCUCUUGCCAUCGGAUGUGCCCAGAUGGGAUUAGCUAGUAGGUGGGGUAACGGCUCACCUAGGCGACGAUCCCUAGCUGGUCUGAGAGGAUGACCAGCCACACUGGAACUGAGACACGGUCCAGACUCCUACGGGAGGCAGCAGUGGGGAAUAUUGCACAAUGGGCGCAAGCCUGAUGCAGCCAUGCCGCGUGUAUGAAGAAGGCCUUCGGGUUGUAAAGUACUUUCAGCGGGGAGGAAGGGAGUAAAGUUAAUACCUUUGCUCAUUGACGUUACCCGCAGAAGAAGCACCGGCUAACUCCGCG
rnacentral:rRNA from 1 species